UACGUAGGGGGGCAAGCGUUGUCCGGAUUUAUUGGGCGUAAAGAGCGUGUAGGCGGUUUGGUAGGUCCGUUGUGAAAACUCGAGGCUCAACCUCGAGACGCCGGUGGAAACCGUAAAGCUAGAGUCCGGAAGAGGAGAGUGGAAUUCCUGGUGUAGCGGUGAAAUGCGCAGAUAUCAGGAAGAACACCCGUGGCGGAGGCGGCUCUCUGGGACGGUACUGACGCUGAGACGCGAAAGCGUGGGGAGCGAACAGG
rnacentral:rRNA from 1 species